GCCAAUUGUGCACCGCCCUAUGGGACUCCCAAUCACAGCCGGAUGUGAUGCAGCCUGGACUCAAACCGAAGCCUAUGCAUCCUUAGUGGAUAAUGUAUUGCCGGCUGCGUAAAAUGCAUUUGGAUGGUAAGAUAAACGACUCAUUAUUGCCAUCUGUUGGCUUUUGUUCUAUAAGUUAGCCAGCUAACUUGCCUAAGUGUUCUGAAACAACUUUUUUGUUGUUGAAAUAUAAUCAUUAAAUGGACAUGGUCUCAUUGACUCAACAACCAAAAACACAUCUAAGUUUAGCUUUCUUAAUUAACCAGAAAAUCAAUAGUAGUUUCUGGUGGUUCAUCAAAGUUAGCUGGCUAACCCAUUGAUUUAUGUCAAACCAAACAAAAGGCAUAAUUUGCGGAGCCUGAAUGACGACUGUCUCUGGUCAAAUUGAUUCCCUAGCCUCCUCCUAGCUGGCUCUGCUGGAAUGCAGCACAUAAUUAUUAUUAUCAUGAGCAGCACUGGAAUUUCACCAUGUCUCCCUUUUCUAAAUGCUUUCAGCUUUCAAAAAAAUGUGCAACGUGUCCAAGAACUUUGCUUCCAGCAAACAGAGUACGGUAACUAAAUUGGAAAGGAAUCUGCCCGGAACAGGAGUCUGAAUAUAUUUAGGGAAGAUUUCACAUAGGGACUUGGGCCUCACAAUACAAUGAGGGGGCUGUGCAAGAUCAUGAAUAUGAGUAUCGCAUGCCAAACUGUUCAGUUGUAGUUUUAGCACAAGCUAAACCCAAUAUGGAGCAAUUCACUGUAAAGGACUCAAAAUGUCAAUGUUUGAAUUGUCUGUUCCUAUCAAAUAGGAAUAGCAAUAUAUAACACAUUUUACAGUAAUACAACAUUACUGUGGUUGUGAUAUGGAUUAACCGGAAUGCUCAAUCAUUUAUCUUAAUUGUUUGUCACGGGCCCUUUGUCCAUCAAUUGCUCCUAUCUUCAGUUAAUGUUUUCACGGCUUUAAGGCCUAGAUGUGCUGAAGUCGGCAUAAGCAUACUUGAAAUAUCUGUCCUUCCUCAUCCACUGAAAGAGAUGUUUGAGAUAAGAGUAAAUUAGAUCAAAUGUUUUAAUCUAUCAUGGUGUUCUGUAAUGGGACAGCUGUGGUUAAUGAUGGGACUGGGGGGGGGCUCCCAGACUGACUGACAGACACCCCUCUGGCUGCUAAAAGCUCCAGCGCCUUGUUCCUGUUGUUGCCUUCUUUUCUCCUCCGGGUUUUAUUUUUGGCUACUGACCUUGACAGGAGCCUAUCCUUUCCUGCUUCCUCCAGCCAAACACAUCCCGUACGCCUUCCACUACAUCAGGAGUGUGCUGUUGAAAUAGUGUUGUCCUUCUCACUAGAUUGUACAUUCUCUUCGACAGGUUUCUCUUUGCUUUCUCUUCGGAGUGUUUUAACUUGUUUUGAAGCGUUAACGGAUAAGUAACUUGUGUCCUUUGCUUUGCAGGUCUUUCUUUAAGAGGAAAGGAGGGAAAAGAGCAGACUCUGUUUAAAGGAAGAGUGGUUUAAAAAGAAAAGGAUAGAACACAGACCCCUGUAAAACUCAUUGCCUUCAAUAGGCUACUGUGGCUAAACCAAUCGCAGGACAGACUCACUGUGUUUAACACUGUCUGUCUGUACACCGGAAGGGCCUUCAUGCCUACAUCAACCAUGCAGUGAGGGUGAGCUGGCAGUGUGCCCCCUCUCUCCAUGCUGGCUUUGGGCCUAGAGCAGGGAAGAGGAGAGGGGAGAGGUGGACGGAAAGUUGGAUCCCCCUCAAAAACACUCUUGUUUCAGUAAGACUUCAACUGCAAUACCUUUGCAAUCUCUUACAACAGACACUACAAACAUUUUCCAAUUAGAUAGGAUAAUCCCCAACAAUGAGGAACUGAAUGUGGGUGGUGUGCUGGAAGUUAAGUUGACCAAACACCUACCUCUGUCAGUGGAUGACCAUGGAGAGAGCCUGCCCCCAGGGAAUUUCUAUACCUCAAGGGGCUUCUGGCAGAGGCUGGAGGGAGACAAGUUGUUCUGGGAGAAGGGAAGAAAUACCUCAGCAGAGCCUCAGAGUCAUCUAUCUCCCUCACCUUUGACCAUGUCCAGCUGAACACCUGACCAGAGACAACACAUAUGAGGAUGUCAAGCCGUCUCCUACUAUGUGUCUCCCCAUUGUUCGUCCCCGACCCUGGACCAUGGCACAGAGACAAGAACCCUCUCACCCCAAAGCUUCCUCCCAAGCCUCUCACGUUGUGGGUGGAGAGGAAGGACUCACUGGCAGCGACACAAUCCUCACCUACAGAAGCCCCCCCCUAGACCUGCCUUACCCAAGCGACCCACAACCAUCCAUAAAACACACAGACUGCCUCAGUAUGUCAACAAGAUUCAUGUGAUCUUCGACACCAAACGAGGGAAGAAGAGAGUGAAGAGCCAGGGAGGUUCAGCGCGUGAGGAGACCAGUGGAACUGAAAGUGACCCAGAGGACAACACUAAAGGAGGGUCCAGGCGCUCGGCCUAUGUCCAGUCCACGCUGAAGCGGAGGCCAGUCUACAGCUCCCUGGAGAGGGACCUGAUCCAGCUCCAGCAACAGCAGCUCUUUCAGUUCUUUAAACUCCUACACCCCUGAGAUCACGCAACAGUUUCCCAACAAGUUUGAGAAGUCUUCCCGUCACUCCCGUGAAGCCGACGACCGGCUGAAGGCCAUUCCCAUGUUCUGCUUCCCAGACUCUCAGGACGGGCGGCCUUCUGGACACCUGCACAGGAGAGGAUGGCAGCCGGUGCUUUUGUUACUGUCGUAAGAUCCUGCCAAGAGGAAAGGGGAAAAGACUGCCUGAAGUUCACUGCAUUGUAAGCAGGCUGGGCUGCUUCAACCUGUUUGCUAAGAUCUUGGAGGAGGUAGAGAGGCGCAGGGAGAUCUGUCCAGCCCUGGUGUCCCCCUUCAUGCGUAGCGUCAUGGAGGCUCCUUUUCCCGCCUCUGGACGCACCAUCACACUCAGGAGCUUCCUCCCAGGCUCAGGAAAUGAGUGUGCUAUCUCGUUGUGGCCAUGCCGCGCUGGCGCUGCUCUACCCGUUCACCUGGCAGCAUACAUUUGUGCCUGUGCUGCCCGCUAGCAUGCUAGACAUCAGCUGCUCUCCCACUCCCUUCCUCAUGGGGGCGCUGGCGCCCUGCCUGCCCAAACUUCUGGAGCUGCCCAUAGAGGAGGUCAGUGACAAAGGUCACCGUCUGAUUCCCAGUGGCUAGUCACUAGAUGGCCAUGCUACAAAGGAAAACAUUUUUUAUCUUGUCAGAAUUGAUGAUCAAGUACCCGACUGACUAGUUCUUUGAUAUAGGGUUAGGGUUACAGAAUUCUGUUGCGCACAGUUGUUUACCAUACUUAAAGGUAGACUCCGCGAUAUGAUGUAGAUGCAGAAAGUAAACCGCAUAGGGGGUCAAUUUUCACAACAACUAAGAGAGAUUAAGCGCAAGGUUCAACUUCUCCGCUGUUUUGGUCCUGUGGCUACCACGCUGUUUCAGCGUGAUGUUGGCGAACCAUUGCACAUGCGCAGAUACUGUGGGUGACCUGUGUGAGAGCGAAUUGUUGCAUCUCGCUCAUCUCAAUAUCUGUGGUGCUAUUCGUGGCAAUGUCAUUUCGCUGAGUACCUGUUUAAUAAAGUAUUUUACUGCCACCUAAUGGUAGUUCUAUGAACGUCUUUACAGUAGGACUAACAAACUGCCGUAUCAAUCUGCAAACACUUACCAACAGUUAAUGGUAGAAAGUCACCGACGUCUAAUUCAAAGCCCAAUACAUUUGACCUGCGUUCAUUUUGUCAUUGAUAAUUUAAAGGUUCUGUCUCUGUUUUGCAUUCUAGGUGCUUAUUGUGGAUUUAUGUACGGACAAAUUUGUCAAACAGGUGUGUAUUUAAUUGCAACUCAUGAAAGAUAGGUGUGGUUCCAAAACGCAACUGAAUAGGGUAUGAGGAACACUUUGUCUGUGCAUGUCUGCGUUCCAAGUGACAGUGUUGAAUAUUAAUGCAACUUGAUGAUUUCACACAUACCAGAGCUUGACUGUAAUCCAAGUUCAUAUAGUGAGACUAUUUAAUAGUAGUAGCUAUGGAGUUUCGCUUCUUUCUUACUCCGAGAUCCUAUUGGGCUGCUGAUAUUGUUGGCUAGUUUCGACAACAACCAUUUUUAUUGCAUAGGCCAGGAAUGUUCAACUUUGAUGGGGGUGGAGGCCACAAAAAAAUUGGAACUCAUCAUGGGGUGCUGCAGUGGCACGCAGGUCUGCAAACCCACAUAUGCAGUCAGAG